UUACGGUUAUAUCACGCUGAAACACCGUUUCCCAUAUGAUCAAAGAAGUUAAGUAAUGUCGAGCCUGGUCAGUACCUAGAUGGGGGACCGCUAAGGAAAACCAGAUACUGUA